UACGUAGGCAGCGAGCGUUGUUCGGAAUUACUGGGCGUAAAGAGUGUGUAGGCGGUGCUCUAAGUUCGGUGUGAAAUCUCUCGGCUUAACUGGGAGGGUGCGCCGGAAACUGGAGUGCUCGAACGUGGGAGAGGAAAGCGGAAUUCCUGGUGUAGCGGUGAAAUGCGUAGAUAUCAGGAGGAACACCAGUGGCGAAGGCGGUUGCCUGGGGCUUUGCUGACGCUGAUGCGCGAAAGCGUGGGGAGCGAUCCGG
rnacentral:rRNA from 1 species